rnacentral:rRNA from 1 species
GGAGGGAGCUAGCGUUGUUCGGAAUCACUGGGCGUAAGGGGCGCGUAGGCGGCCGAGUAAGUCGUGUGUGAAAGACCGGGGGCUCAACUCCGUGUACUGCAUGCGAUACUGCCCCCGGCCCAGAGAAAGGUAGAGGCGAGUGGAAUUCCCGGUGUAGCGGUGGAAUGCGUAGAUAUCGGGAAGAACACCUGUGGCGAAGGCGGCUCGCUGGGCCUUUUCUGACGCUGAAGUGCGAAAGCGUGGGGAGCAAACAGGAUUAGAUACCCUGGUAGUCCACGCCGUAAACGAUGGGCACUAGGCGUUGGGAGGAUUGACCCUCUCAGUGCCGUAGCUAACGCGUUAAGUGCCCCGCCUGGGGAGUACGGCCGCAAGGCUG